CAAAUACCAUCAUGAGGAACCAACCCUCAUGAUAUUAUUUAAUCCUAAUUAUCUCCCAAAGGCCCACCUCCAAAUACCAUCACACUGGGGGUUAGGGCUUCCACAUAUGGAUUUUGUGAGUACACAAUUAUUCAGUCCAUAACAGAUGGCACAGUUUUGUUUGUUUAAUGGAUAAUUCUAUUAGUUUGGUCAAAAGUAUAAUUUUGCUUUCUCUCUAUGUGGAAAUUAAAUACAGUCCUGACAAAUGUACAUGAUUUCCAAGUUGGUAGAGGUUGAGUUCUGUUGGAUUAUGAUAUGUCAAGUUGGCUAAGGCUGGGAGCUGUUUUCCAGAAUUUCCUUCCCUACGUGGUUCCUGGGUAGAGUUGACCAUGAAGAAAGGUGUUAUACUCAGUCAUUGCCAUCAGUCGCAGUGAUGGACAGAUGCAGAGGGACCCAGCCUGCUGCAGCUGAUCCUUGAUCUCCACCACUGUGUGUCCAUCCCAUCUUUCUUACCGCAGGCCUGCUGACGAAGGCUGGCUCCAAGCCCACCCACCAGGAUCUUGGCCACGGACCAGAAGGGUAGCAGAUAAAUAGAGGCAACAAUUUCAGCAGCAUGAUAAUUUCCAUAGACCUCUCCACAAGCUCCCAAUCACAGUCCUACUUCAGCUUCUCAGAUUCUGUGCAAGUUCUGAAUUGUCUACCUGUACCAGUGCUUCUUCUUCCAAUUCUCUACCUCUCCCUUCUAGAGCUUCACUACCCAGCUCUUCCCACAUUUGUGCCCAAUUGCAUUCCUAUAACCAGUCCCUCAUUCUCAUCAUAUUUUUUUCUAACUGAUGCAUUUUGGUUAUCUGCUAAACAUUAGCAGAGUCUUCCACUGGAAGCCUGUUUAAUUUUAAUUUUAAGCUAUCUUAAG
rnacentral:lncRNA from 10 species